GCGGGCGUGGCGGAACUGGCAGACGCGCUAGAUUUAGGUUCUAGUGUCUAUUGACGUGGGGGUUCGAAUCCCUUCGCCCGCA
rfam:Lactobacillus curieae strain CCTCC M 2011381, complete genome.